AGUGCCAAACACUACAAAAUGAAAUAUCAAUUCGUAUGGUAAAUCUAUGGCACAUCAAAGAUUUAGAAAAAUGAUACUCGCCAAUCGAAAUAAAUAAAUAUUAAUAAUUAAUGUGAUCAAUUUAUAAUACACACUCUCUAAAAACAUUUUGCACACACUAUGUUUGGAAGCCCGUAAAAAAUCUGUGGCACACAUUGUCAAAAGGAGUUUUCAUUCAUUUGUAGGUAGUCAGAAUGAUGCACCCAAUGUUCUAAGGGGUCAAAAUCAAGAGCAUGCAGCAAACAGUUCCAAGGUGUCUGGGGUUAAUGCUGAAAAAUGUGACUGGACCUAACACCGCUGGUGUAUCUCCACAAUCAAGAAAGAAAAACCUCUUAGUCUGGAGAGAUCUGUGCUCGUGGACCUCAGAUUAUGAAAGGAUAUUUGAAUGACGGAACCAUGAAUACAAUCGACCAAGAAGGCUGGCUUCAUACAGGAGACAUAGGUUUCAUUGACAAUGACGACGAGAUUUUCUUUGUGGACAGUCACAGAACUUAUUAGUUUCAAAGAAUUCAAGAUAGCGCCAGCAGAGCUCGAGGCUUUACUGUUCAGUCACCCGUCUAUUGAUGCGGCUGCUGUUGUUUCUCAAGAUGACCCCGCAACUGGAGAAGCUGUGGUUGCCUUUGUCGUUCAAUCAGAUGGAGCUGAACUUACUGAAGAUGAAGUUAAAGAAUUGUUUUUUUUCCAGACGGCUGUG